rnacentral:lncRNA from 1 species
UCUUUAUUCACAAUGUACCAUUCGGAUUUGUUACACACAUGACAUAUCAUUAUGUCAUACAGAAUUGUUACCUGUAUAUGGAGAUAAAACACAUGUAAAACAACCGAUAUAAAGACAUAGCAUACAAAUUGUUACGAUCGCCUAUGGAAUUCGUAUAUUAUUCCACCGAUGGCAAAAGUAACUUAAUCAUGAGAAAAUAAUUGAGAGAGAGA